rnacentral:lncRNA from 1 species
GAUAAAACAAGUCACUUUCCAUAACGCUGAUGAAACUCAGAGUAAAGUCUCUGUCAUUUGCCUUCACCCUGAUAAAGACAAAAGAUGAGAGAUCAGGACGAAACCACCAGACCAGAUGGCUUGACCUCAGAACAAAAGACGUCACUGAGAAACCUGGGAACAGCUGAUUGGGAUUGAAAUAGUGGUCAGAAACCCCAAAAUUUAGCAUAAGCGAUGGGGCAAAUGAACAGAUAUUCAGCCAGCCGACACUGAUGCCCUCAUGCCGAAGAGCCUGAUGAGGACCUGGACUGACAUCCCAACUCCUCUCGUCAUUUUCCUGAUCCUCUGCAUCGUCCUCACCACUCUCAAACUCUACAGCCACAUCUUGACCCUGGUGAGAUCGGCGACUUCCCCGUAUGACCCUCUCCUCAGCUGGCCGUCAGCUCCACAGCAGGAGAAGCCUCCAUUGGUGCCUGACCUGAUCACCACGGUCUGAGUGAGUGGGCAUCUGCUGGACUUAAGGCUUGAGGCUCGAGACUUUAGAUCUGGCACAUGGGCUUAGCAUGCAGAGGGAAUGUCUGUCAUGAGCCUUCAUGAUAAGGUGUGUUUGCAGUGCUUAGAAUUAAGCUAGAAUUGUUUGCUGUCAUUAUGUCUCUUGCAGUGCCCAGCAUUAAGGAUUGUCGUUUUCUUGAUUAAGAUCCUCUAGAGUGGAGU